UUCUCGCUCGCCAUCCUUCACUCAUCGAAUAACGGCCACCUCCACUUUUUUCUUCGCUCUCCGAACCCCUCGUGAUUGCGAUCAAGAGAGAGAUACGAGUGCAGACCGUCACGAGCGCCUCUUUUUUUGUCGUACCUGCAGAACGCACAGCGAUAACAGGUGGUCUCGCCCGCACGAACUCGGGGAAGGGCGACGAUGUUUGGCGGGCGGGCAGUGUGUAUCGUUGGCCUCUUCUUGGCAUGUGUGUCGCGUCUACACGCUCUCAAGGAUCAUACGCAACGCGUGUGCUGGCUGAACCUCAAGAGCAGCAAGAGACGCUUUUAGGCCAGGCUAUUCUGCCACUCGGAGAGUCCUCCUUGGAACUGAGCGACAGCAACGCUGCGCACGCUGUCGCUCAUGACGGAUGACGCGGCGCUCUGACUUAUCUUGCGGUUUGCAGGGCAGACAGUGUCGUUGUCAUUGCAGCAGUGCAUCUGCCAUUCGUUGUUGUGCCCACUUGUCGUCUCCUUUUUCUUCGCCCUUCCCUAG
rnacentral:misc_RNA from 1 species